rnacentral:lncRNA from 1 species
GAGUCAAGGCAAAACCAUAUCCAAGUGAGUACCUAUGUAAAUAAGCUGUUGUACAAGCAUUCCCAGCGCUCCAGAGUUUGCACCUGUGUACUAAAUAUCUGUUCUCUUCAGUUUUAGAGAUCCUGACCCGUUAGUCUUUGGUGCUGGCAAGUACCCAUCACAGUGCUUGGCAUUUAGGCUAAUCCACACUGUUUGAAUAUGUAGAUACAAAGCAUCACAGCUUAUACAAACCUGUUUUCACACGUCUAGGGAAGCUUUCCUAUCAUUGUGUCUGAAGAUAUGAAUAUAUACUUCUGUCUUUUCUUAUUUUCUCUAACAACCUUUACCUAUGGAUAAAGGUUAUUAGACAUUGACUAUUAGACUGUAAUGUUUAGUAGGAAACAAAAUAAAUAAAAACCAAAAGCAUUGUCAACGGUGGAAAGGAAAUUCUAGCCUUUUUACAGUCCUCGGAUUUCCAAUCUGACUUUUAUUGGAGAAGUUGAAGGUGAAAUAUAACAUCUGCAGUGAAUGAACCCUCUUCUUUCUCACAAUUUUCACUAGGAAGGUCUUCUCACAUUCAGGACUGGUUUUCUGCACCUUUGGGCAUUCUUUCUUCCUCAUGCUAGUUCUUGAAUUUCUUUGUACAUGAAGAUCUUUGUAACAUCCUUAUUUAUCAGGACAAGGCAAUACCGUGCAGACUAUCUAUUCUCCAGUCUGAAUCAAGCAUCAGUUGAACUUGCUGGAUAUGUGUUCAAUAAAUGCUAGCAGUUACAUAAAAUCAUUUGAAAGAGUUGGUCCACUUAUAGAUGCAUUUGGUAAUGUAAGAAAAACUUGGCCCCUAAUGUCAAUGAUGUUUACCAAUUAUUUCCUCUGUUAGUACAGUUGACAUGGUUCAGUGGUUCUUAAGAAGUGGUUAAAUAUAAGUAAGUGGGAUUCUUAGUCUAGAGCAGCAGUUCUCAACCUGUGAGUCGGAACCCCUUUGUGGUCAAACAAUUCUCUCACAGGGGAAAUCUAGAGGUUUGAAAAAUAGAUAUUUACAUUACUAUUCAUAACAGUAGCAAAAUUACAGUUGGGAUGUAGCAAUGAGAUUAUUUUAUGGUUGGGGUUCACCACAAUAUGAGGAGCUGCGUUAAAGAAUAGCAUUAGGAAGAUUGAGAACCACUGGUCUAGAUUGUGUUUGGAAUGAAUACACAAGCCUUAACUGCUAUAGUUAUCUUUAAAAAUCUGUCCAUUUACACUGCACAGGAAGAAUUUUAUGAAACAAAGUAUUUUAAUGUCUUACUACUUCUCUUAAAUCAAUUGUUUUUUAAAAUUAGAUAACACUGUUUCAAAAGAAAUUUUACCAGAAGUACAAUUUCUUAAAAUAACUAAGUGUUCUGGUUGGACCAGGGAGCUCUGUGUCUUCUUCACUCACCUGUACUAUUUCCUAACUUUCAAAGGACCACUACCUUUCUAGUUGCUGUGCUUUGAGCACCACUUUGUGCCCACUUGUACUUCACAGAGUGGAGAAACUCUAGAUUUCUAUUUAGAAAUUUCUAUUACGUCCUUACAUAAAGUCAGGAAGUAUCUGGCAUUGUUUUGAUCUGCAUAUGAUGACAAGUGCUUCAAGUCUCACUGGGAACUUUCUAGAACGAUAGAGUAUGUUAGCCUUGUUUUAGAUUCAUUAUCUAGAGUUAUGCCAAAAAGAGAAGGUACUACAAGUAUCCAGCAGAUAUGGAACAGACAAAAUGAUUGACUGUCAAUAGUUUGAAGCUAAAACGUUGCUAUAUUCUUUAUUAUAUAAGAUAAACUUGAAUAGUUCCUAAACUGGUUUUGUAUUUGUUUAGUUUUGUUUUGUUUUUGGCAGUCUCCUAGAAUUGGGAUGCCUGGAACAUACUAUGUUAGGCCAAAGUGGCUUCAAACUCAAAACAGUCCUGCCUCUGCCUCCCGCGCCUCAGCCUCAGUGCUGGAUUUAUAGGUGGGGGCCACCAUGUUUUUUCUAAACUCUUUUGAAGCUUAUGAUCCCCAAGAGGACAAAGCUCAGAAAGCUGCUAAGGUAUUCAGUUCAUAAGGUAUUCAUUGAGUUAUUCACUUCAUAAUGUAUUUGUUGUGAGAAUAUACAUGACUAUCAUCCUUCCAAUGCUGUAAAUUUCUUGAAAAAUCUGCUUAUGCUCGUGGCUAGUAAUUUAGAAGUUUGCUUAGUGACAUGAGUGAACUAAUGAACUCUUACACAAAAUGUCUACCUGUUUCUUACACAUUCUUAAGAAUGAAAAGCAUGUCUUAAGUUUCUAACAUAGUGUCUUGUCUCAAGAGUUUGCUGGAAAUGUUGGCUGAACCAAAUAGAUGAAAGUAUGCAUGUCACCAGGGUCUGAGGUCUUCUUAAUGAAUAAUGAAUUAUUUCAUGACUGAAGACACCCCCUCAGUAUGUUCUCAGUUCUUAAUAGUUGAAUAACGUGAACAACAAGCUACAAGAUGAGCGUCUGUGACUUCUCGGCAGAUGAGACUUUGGAGGUGGGGGAACUGGAGUUUUGAGGAUGCACACUGGUAACCUGUCUUGUUUUCUAAAGCCCCCCAUAAUGCCUAAUGCUUUACUUUGGGUGCAGUGGGUUCUGAUAAUUUGUUAAAUAACAAUCAGUGCAUGAUACUAAUUGAUGAACAGAGCCACUCUUAAGGCCGGCUCCUACCCCUGUCAUUAAAGCCGUGAGCUCUAGGAAAGAAACUGGAUCACUCGGAAAUCCCUGGAACUCUGAAGUUAAAUCAGAACUGAGUAAGUCAUCAUUUUCAUACAGGCAUUUUUCUAAUGAUGCUACUUUGUUGAAAAAAAGCAAACUGCAAGAUAACCCCAGCAGAAAAAAUUCUUCAGAAGGAAAGCUUCCUUGAGUGAGUGCUUCAUCCUUGAUGGUAGGCCACUUGACUUAGUGAGUCAUCUUCCUAUUUACCGAUGAUUUGUCUUAAGUUUGGUCAUGAGAUAAUUACGUUGAUUUGUCUAUAUUAGGAAGUAAUUGGAGAAAAGUUGAUUGCUAUCAGUUGAAUGAGGGGAAAUCUGAUUGUUCUUAAUCUAGAGGCAUGACUUGGGCUCUAACUUUAUAAAGAAUGGAUUUAUGGCAUUAUUCCUUGUGUCUAGAAGGCACAACACCAUUCUGUCUCUAGUAUCCUCCAUGUAUCUACUGCCUCUCAUAAUCAUUGAAGUCUCCAUCCCUACUCUGAGGUCUGGUUGUUUUUAGAAAAUAAAAGUACCCAUUCCUUCUGCCCACCUUGAUCCACCAUGAGUCCUGUAUAGAGUGCUGGCAAUGCUAGACUGGGAUAGCCUAUCACAUACCGUCCUACCUUACUAAACUGCGAGCUCAAGAGCAGGCCUAUAGAUCUUUGCUAUACUUGUUCCCAAUGCUUAGAACUAUACUCACUAUGGAAAAAGCACUAAUCAAUGGAGCAAGUAAAUAAAUGAGAUAAUUUGCUCAUGAGACCUGUUAGCCAACCUGUGUAGUUUUGUUCUCUGUGGUACACAUUAUCAUUCCAUUUUUUCAUAUUGAACUACUAUUUAAUACAAAUGAAUAUAAGAAAUGCUUAUUAACUGUAAUAUUUUUAUCCUUAAAUGGCAUGUAUUUUAAUGACUGUCCAUUGCUGAUGGCACAGGGAUAGUUCUUAUGCUUUGCUGAAGGAACUUCAAGUUAGCAUAGCAUUUUUUUAUAAGGCACCUAAGAAGAUAUAUUCAAAACUCUUAGCAGCUUUCAUAUCCUUUUACCUAGCCAUUCUGGUUACAAAUGUAUCCUGGAGAAAAAUAUUUUUAACUUGGGGCAGUUAUAUAAAUGUUGCAAUGUAACUUCUAACGCACCUUGGAGUGUUAUACCAUCUUAUACCAUGCCAUAUUAGCGAGUGAAAAUGACAUUUUAAAUCACCAUAAACAAUGUGAUAGUGUGCUUUAAAACAGGGCAUGUACAAGGAAAAGACUGGAAAGGUUGAGCACCGACUGUAAAAAAUGAUAACUUCUGGGUAACAGAGUUUUUCUCUUAUUGUUUUUUUUUUUCUGUAAUAAAAUCAGUAUGUAACAGUUUUAGAAUAUAAAAUCAAUAAAGGUCAUUU